AGCCGGCGUAGCUCAGGGGUAGAGCAGCUGAUUCGUAAUCAGCAGGUCGUAGGUUCAAAUCCCAUCGCCGGCUU
rnacentral:tRNA from 1 species